rnacentral:rRNA from 1 species
UACGGGAAGGCAGCAGUGGGGAAUAUUGCACAAUGGGCGAAAGCCUGAUGCAGCUAUGCCGCGUGUAUGAAGAAGGCCUUAGGGUUGUAAAGUACUUUCAUCGGGGAGGAAAAACAAAACUAAUAAUUUUAUUUCUUGACGUUACCCGAAAAAGAAGCACCGGCUAACUCCGUGCCAGCAGCCGCGGUAAUACGGAGGGUGCUAGCGUUAAUCAGAAUUACUGGGCGUAAAGAGCACGUAGGUGGUUUUUUUAAGUCAGAUGUGAAAUCCCUGGGCUUAACCUGGAACUGCAUUUUGAAACUGAAAUACUAGAGUAUCGUAGAGGGAGGUAGAAUUCUAGGUGUAGCGGUGAAAUGCGUAGAUAUCUGGAGGAAUACCUGUGGCGAAAGCGGCCUCCUAAACGAAUACUGACACUGAGGUGCGAAAGCGUGGGGAGGCAAACAGGGAUUAGAUACC